CCUUAAGCAAUGGAGAGACGCAGGAAGGUAGCCGAACCGCGGCGAUGGUUGUUCCGCGGGUAAGGGUGUAGGGCGAGGUGUAGGCAAAUCCGCACCUCAUGUGCCUGAGACCUGACACGGACCCGUAAGGGGAAGUCGGUGAUCCUAUGCUGCCAAGAAAAUCUUCUAGCGAGGUUCUAGCCGCCCGUACCCCAAACCGACUCAGGUGGUUAGGUAGAGAAUACCAAGGCGAUCGAGUGAAUCGUGGUUAAGGAAUUCGGCAAAAUACCCCCGUAACUUCGGGAGAAGGGGGGCCCAGAGGGUGACGGGACUUGCUCCCCGAGCCUGAACGGCCGCGGAGACCAGGGAGAAGCGACUGUUUACUAAAAACACAGGUCCGUGCCAAGUCGCAAGACGAUGUAUACGGACUGACGCCUGCCCGGUGCUGGAACGUUAAGGGGACCGGUUAGCCUCACGGCGAAGCUGAGAACUUAAGCGCCAGUAAACGGCGGUGGUAACUAUAACCAUCCUAAGGUAGCGAAAUUCCUUGUCGGGUAAGUUCCGACCUGCACGAAUGGCGUAACGACUUCUCCACUGUCUCAACCACGAACUCGGCGAAAUUGCACUACGAGUAAAGAUGCUCGUUACGCGCAGAAGGACGGAAAGACCCCGGGACCUUUACUACAGCUUGGUAUUGGUGUUCGGUACGGCUUGUGUAGGAUAGGUGGGAGACUGUGAAGCUGACACGCCAGUGUCGGUGGAGUCAACGUUGAAAUACCACUCUGGUCGUUCUGGAUAUCUAACCUAGGUCCGUAAUCCGGAUCAGGGACAGUGCCUGGUGGGUAGUUUAACUGGGGCGGUUGCCUCCUAAAAGGUAACGGAGGCGCCCAAAGGUUCCCUCAGCCUGGUUGGCAAUCAGGUUUCGAGUGUAAGUGCACAAGGGAGCUUGACUGUGAGACUGACAAGUCGAACAGGGACGAAAGUCGGGACUAGUGAUCCGGCGGUGGCUUGUGGAAGCGCCGUCGCUCAACGGAUAAAAGGUACCCCGGGGAUAACAGGCUGAUCUUGCCCAAGAGUCCAUAUCGACGGCAUGGUUUGGCACCUCGAUGUCGGCUCGUCGCAUCCUGGGGCUGGAGUAGGUCCCAAGGGUUGGGCUGUUCGCCCAUUAAAGCGGUACGCGAGCUGGGUUUAGAACGUCGUGAGACAGUUCGGUCCCUAUCCUCUGCGCGCGCAGGAAACUCGAGAAGGGCUGUCCCUAGUACGAGAGGACCGGGAUGGACGAACCUCUGGUGUGUCAGUUGUUCUGCCAAGAGCACCGCUGAUUAGCUACGUUCGGGAGCGAUAACCGCUGAAAGCAUCUAAGCGGGAAGCAUGCUUCAAGAUGAGGUUUCCAUGGGGUUUACCCCGAGAGGCUCCCAGCUAGACUACUGGGUUGAUGGGCCGGAUGUGGAAGUGCGGUAACGCAUGGAGCUAACCGGUACUAAUAAGCCGAUAACUUGACC
rnacentral:rRNA from 1 species